rnacentral:tRNA from 1 species
UGCCGGAUCGUCUAAUGGUAGGACACGGGCCUUUGGAGCCUGGUAUCUUGGUUCGACUCCAAGUCCGGCAA